GUUCUACUGAGAAAGGAAACUGUAUACAAGAACUCCCUUCUGCUCCAACUGAAGAGAAGUCUGAAUAGACUAGGUUGUGGGUCUCACAUGUACUAAGAGACCAUAGAAGCUAAGGUUAUCCCAAAUAAUAGGGAUGCAACAUGAAAGAAUCUGAAGGCUGCUUCCCAUUGUUAGAGUCUUUCUUUCAGCAGAGGACUAUGAAGUCAUCGUCUAAACUCUAUUGAAGAAGACACGUUCUCUCAGUAUAUGUUCAUUAAAGAAUGAGUCCCAGAGAACCUGACUGUUACCCAGAGGAGAAACUGGCAGAGUCCAAUUAAACAAAUGAUAUCUCUUCUGUAAAAUUGGCUCAUCAUCCAUUUUAGGACUGAUAAAUAUCAUGGGCCAGAUACAUUUGAGGGUUAACAUCACUGAAGUAAACAUCAGGGACGAAUUUGACCAUGACUUUCUACCACCAAUUUGGCUGGUUGUAAAGAACACAAAGUAUUGUAGAGUGAACAGCACAAGUAAGAACACUAUGAAACCCAGAUGAUCUCAUCGUAUAGUAUAUAUAGGGCCUGAUCCUGCAAACCUUACUAAUGCAGAGCCUAAACAUAACUAACAAGAUGACCGCUUGCUAACAAGGUACUGCUUAUCCAAAGUCCUGUCCACAACAUAUUUCAACCAGGAUGGCUGAGACCCUCCUUUCAUGAAGCCAAGCUCUACUGCCAUUGUCAAUGUAUGGCUUCAUGUUGUUAGGGUGAAAGCAUUCCUAUAUUAUUCAAAGUCUACAAAGCACUGAGGAUCCCUCAGGACACAGGACUGCAGCAAUAUCAUAAUACAAUAGUGUAAGACAGUCAUCAUUUAAAAAAAAAAACUACGUGGCUAAAAUAUAUGUUGUAAGAUUACACUAUAUCUAGUUUCAGCACAAACAUUCUAAAGCAGGAGAACAAAGGUAUCUCAUAUGAAAAAGGCUGCUACCUUCAUUAUACAUAAUUUAGAAGACUGAAAAGAAGAGUGAAGAUACAGUGUGCAGGGUGGUAUCUGAGACCAAAAGUAGAAAUUUCUAGUGUGCCAUAUGUAGAAUACUCACAUUGGAACUCGGAAUCAUACCCUAAGAUCUAGAGGCGUAAUAUGAGAAAAGCAGGGAGGACAGGUAACGGUAGACAUGAUCUCAUUUUUAAUGAGUGAUGCAUGCUGUUGAACAUCUCUAAAAAUCUGAGAAUGGGAACAGAUGGUGAGUAGCAGAGAGGGCCACAGCUGAUACAGAAUGAGG